rnacentral:misc_RNA from 1 species
GAUGAAGAACGUAGCGAACGUGCGAAACGUAAUGUGAAUUGCAGAAUUCAGUGAAUCAUCGAAUCUUUGAACGCAUCUUGCGCUCCUUGGUAUUCCGAGGAGCAUGCCUGUUUGAGUGUCGUGAAUACUCUCAACUUCAACCCUUUUUUCGGAAAGGGAGGAAGGUUGGACUUGGGUGUUUGUUGAAGUGCGAGCUUCGACUCAUCCUAAAUGCAUUAGCGAUCUGCCUCGAUCACACACAAUGUGAUAAUUAAAACUAAAGCAUUGUUUAAUGAUCAAGUCGAGACUGCUUCUAACUGUCGCAAGACAAUAACGUGCAUACAUUUGUGCAUGUCAUUUGACCUCAAAUCAGGUAGGACUACCCGCUGAACUUAAGCAUAUCAUAAGCGGAGGA